UGCCCAGCAACUCCUAUCCCUACCUCCACGCGGUACCGGCCGGAAACUAUGAGCAACCUUAGGGAAGAUCGGGUAACCAACCCCGGUGGGACCUUUGGUCGUAGGCUGACAGGGAAGG
rfam:Aedes albopictus isolate Foshan contig59700, whole genome shotgun sequence.